rnacentral:lncRNA from 1 species
CUAUCGUAUGAGAUUGCCGUCUGCCAUCAUUUUCUGAAAUUAUCAAAUUCUUUGUGCAUAGGUUAAACCAGGUUAAAGCAUCAGAAGGUUGUUUUCUUUAAUUAUUACUAUGACAUCUUGAUGGCAGUUAGGUUAAAAGCCAACUUCAGCAAUAAAAUCUAUUGUGUGUGUAGCCACACGAUCUUUUAUUUUUACUGGGAAAAAUCUGGGAUAAUGGAUUUCAUUACGUCUUAUAUUUGCAUCUUAGUAUGGAUAUAGAUGCUUGUGUGGUUCUACGAUAUGAGUGAAGUGUGGUUAUGGAUGAAUGUAAGACUCAUAAAAUACUUGAAUCUUUUCAU